rnacentral:rRNA from 1 species
AACGAACGCUGGCGGCAUGCCUAACACAUGCAAGUCGAACGAGAUCUUCGGGUCUAGUGGCGCACGGGUGCGUAACGCGUGGGAAUCUGCCCUUUGGUUCGGAAUAACAGUUGGAAACGACUGCUAAUACCGGAUGAUGACGAAAGUCCAAAGAUUUAUCGCCAGAGGAUGAGCCCGCGUAGGAUUAGCUAGUUGGUGUGGUAAAGGCACACCAAGGCGACGAUCCUUAGCUGGUCUGAGAGGAUGAUCAGCCACACUGGGACUGAGACACGGCCCAGACUCCUACGGGAGGCAGCAGUGGGGAAUAUUGGACAAUGGGCGAAAGCCUGAUCCAGCAAUGCCGCGUGAGUGAUGAAGGCCUUAGGGUUGUAAAGCUCUUUUACCCGGGAUGAUAAUGUCAGUACCGGGAGAAUAAGCUCCGGCUAACUCCGUGCCAGCCGCCGCAGUAA